rnacentral:rRNA from 1 species
UACGUAGGGCGCAAGCGUUGUCCGGAAUUCUUGGGCGUAAAGAGCUCGUAGGCGGCCAGUUGCGUCCGCUGUGAAAUCCCGGGGCUUAACCCCGGGCGUGCAGUGGAUACGGGCUGGCUAGAGGCAGGCAGGGGAGAACGGAAUUCCCGGUGUAGCGGUGAAAUGCACAGAUAUCGGGAGGAACACCGGUGGCGAAGGCGGUUCUCUGGGCCUGUACUGACGCUGAGGAGCGAAAGCGUGGGGAGCAAACAGG